AACUUAAUUUUUUGAUAGCUGUACCGGACCAUCCGGAAAUUAUGCGCACAAUACCACAACUUCCAUUACUUCCAAUAUUGCAAAAAGCCAAUUUUUUCUUCCAAAUUAUGCGACAAGACAUAGAAAGGCUAUUAG